AUUGAACGCUGGCGGCAGGCCUAACACAUGCAAGUCGAGCGGAUGAGAGGAGCUUGCUCCUCGAUUCAGCGGCGGACGGGUGAGUAAUGCCUAGGAAUCUGCCUAGUAGUGGGGGACAACGUUUCGAAAGGAACGCUAAUACCGCAUACGUCCUACGGGAGAAAGUGGGGGAUCGUCGGACCUCACGCUAUUAGAUGAGCCUAGGUCGGAUUAGCUAGUUGGUAGGGUAACGGCCUACCAAGGCGACGAUCCGUAACUGGUCUGAGAGGAUGAUCAGUCACACUGGAACUGAGACACGGUCCAGACUCCUACGGGAGGCAGCAGUGGGGAAUAUUGGACAAUGGGCGAAAGCCUGAUCCAGCCAUGCCGCGUGUGUGAAGAAGGCCCUCGGGUCGUAAAGCACUUUAAGUUGGGAGGAAGGGCUUACAGCGAAUACCUGUGAGUUUUGACGUUACCGACAGAAUAAGCACCGGCUAACUUCGUGCCAGCAGCCGCUGUAA
rnacentral:rRNA from 1 species